rnacentral:rRNA from 1 species
ACUGGGAUAACUCCGGGAAACCGGAGCUAAUACCGGAUAGUUCCUUGAACCGCAUGGUUCAAGGAUGAAAGACGGUUUCGGCUGUCACUUACAGAUGGACCCGCGGCGCAUUAGCUAGUUGGUGGGGUAAUGGCUCACCAAGGCGACGAUGCGUAGCCGACCUGAGAGGGUGAUCGGCCACACUGGGACUGAGACACGGCCCAGACUCCUACGGGAGGCAGCAGUAGGGAAUCUUCCGCAAUGGACGAAAGUCUGACGGAGCAACGCCGCGUGAGUGAUGAAGGUUUUCGGAUCGUAAAGCUCUGUUGUUAGGGAAGAACAAGUGCGAGAGUAACUGCUCGCACCUUGACGGUACCUAACCAGAAAGCCACGGCUAACUACGUGCCAGCAGCCGCGGUAAUACGUAGGUGGCAAGCGUUGUCCGGAAUUAUUGGGCGUAAAGGGCUCGCAGGCGGUUUCUUAAGUCUGAUGUGAAAGCCCCCGGCUCAACCGGGGAGGGUCAUUGGAAACUGGGAAACUUGAGUGCAGAAGAGGAGAGUGGAAUUCCACGUGUAGCGGUGAAAUGCGUAGAGAUGUGGAGGAACACCAGUGGCGAAGGCGACUCUCUGGUCUGUAACUGACGCUGAGGAGCGAAAGCGUGGGGAGCGAACAGGAUUAGAUACCCUGGUAGUCCACGCCGUAAACGAUGAGUGCUAAGUGUUAGGGGGUUUCCGCCCCUUAGUGCUGCAGCUAACGCAUUAAGCACUCCGCCUGGGGAGUACGGUCGCAAGACUGAAACUCAAAGGAAUUGACGGGGGCCCGCACAAGCGGUGGAGCAUGUGGUUUAAUUCGAAGCAACGCGAAGAACCUUACCAGGUCUUGACAUCCUCUGACAACCCUAGAGAUAGGGCUUUCCCUUCGGGGACAGAGUGACAGGUGGUGCAUGGUUGUCGUCAGCUCGUGUCGUGAGAUGUUGGGUUAAGUCCCGCAACGAGCGCAACCCUUGAUCUUAGUUGCCAGCAUUUAGUUGGGCACUCUAAGGUGACUGCCGGUGACAAACCGGAGGAAGGUGGGGAUGACGUCAAAUCAUCAUGCCCCUUAUGACCUGGGCUACACACGUGCUACAAUGGACAGAACAAAGGGCUGCGAGACCGCAAGGUUUAGCCAAUCCCAUAAAUCUGUUCUCAGUUCGGAUCGCAGUCUGCAACUCGACUGCGUGAAGCUGGAAUCGCUAGUAAUCGC